AUACUUACCUGGCCGGGAGAUACCAUGAUCACGAAGGUGGUUUAUCCAAGGCAAGGCUUAUCCAUUGCACUCCAGAUGUGCUGACCCCUGCAAUUUCCCCAAAUGUGGGAAACUGCAUAAUUUGUGGUAGUGGGGGGACUGCGUUCUCGCUCUCAACUA